rnacentral:rRNA from 1 species
UACGGGGGGGCAAGCGUUGUUCGGAAUUACUGGGCGUAAAGGGCUCGUAGGCGGCCAACUAAGUCGGACGUGAAAGCCCUCGGCUUAACCGAGGAACUGCGUCCGAUACUGGAUGGCUUGAGGUUGGGAGAGGGAUGCGGAAUUCCAGGUGUAGCGGUGAAAUGCGUAGAUAUCUGGAGGAACACCGGUGGCGAAGGCGGCAUCCUGGACCAAUUCUGACGCUGAGUGAGCGAAAGCCAGGGGAGCAAACGGG